rnacentral:lncRNA from 1 species
CGUCCUGACUGCUGCUGCUGAGAGAGAGAGACGUGCUAGUACCAUGGAUGUAUUGAUAUAAUAGAUCCAUGCCUAGCACUCAGCAGCAUCAGAAACAGCUAGUGGGGCUAACGGGAGGGCUACACAAAGCCACCACCACACAGGACUAGAAGCCAGAACCACACAACUUUCAUAUACCUUCCACACACACAUACUCAUCUGUCACACUCACACCAUCAACCAUUCCUAAUCAGCAAUUGAGAAACUAAAAGGAUAGUUUAACAACAGAUCCACUCAGACACAUGUCACACUGGUGAAAAGCACCUGUAGAACUGAGUUUUGAGAGCUUAAAAAAAUAGUGUUGCCUGUAACGUUGUGUCUGGUUUUCACCAUUUUAUAUACCUACACUAAGCUUGUCCUUUUUCAUGUCAGGUGUAUUGUUGAUACAGGGUUAAACCAGGGUUUGACAAGAGUUGCCAGUGUCUGAUUCUACACCCGAACACAGCAGAGUGGGCGGGGCCUGCAGACCGACCCAGUUACACCUGCAGCGAGCGGACAGAGGAAGAGGAGUGUGAGAUCCACGGGGAAAGGAGCAGGAGAAAGAGAACGACAGCUGUCGCCAGCAGACAGGCAUUGACUGUCGGACUAAUUGAAAUCGUAAGAGGCCGGCGCCCAAGGACGGUGUGACAGCAGUGGUGCCAAUGACGAGAGUGAUGUUGGCCCGAGGUGACGGUGAACAGCUGAUACUCUGCCCCAUCAUGUGA